UAACUUACUUGGCGUGAAGGAUAUCCAUGAUCAACAAGGUGGUUCCUUCUGGGUGAGGCUUGUUCAUUGCACCAUAUUAAUCGAACAAUGCUGAACCUUUCGAGUACUCCUAUUGUGAGUAUAUCGAGCGCAAAAUUUUUUGAUUUAUUCGGGAUCUGCGUUCGCGCUGUCCCGUG